GACGAACGCUGGCGGCGUGCUUAACACAUGCAAGUCGAACGGAAAGGCCCUGCUUUUGUGGGGUGCUCGAGUGGCGAACGGGUGAGUAACACGUGAGUAACCUGCCCUUUACUUUGGGAUAACUUCAGGAAACUGGGGCUAAUACCGGAUAGGAGCUCCUGCUGCAUGGUGUGGGUUGGUAAGUUUCGGCGGUUGGGGAUGGACUCGCUGCUUAUCAGCUUGUUGGUGGUGUAUUGGCUUACCAAGGCUUUGACGGGUAGCCGGCCUGUGAGGGUGACCGGCAACAUUGGGAAUGAGAUAGGGACCAGAAGGGUACGGGAGGAAGCAGUGGGGAAUAGUGCACAAUGGGCGGAAGGAUGAUGAAGCAAAGCAGCGUGCGGGAUGACGGCAUUCGGGUUGUAAAAAGAAGUAGAAUGUGACGAAGCGUGAGUGACGGUAAUGGGUAAAGAAGCACCGGCUAAAUACGUG
rnacentral:rRNA from 1 species